rnacentral:rRNA from 1 species
GUGGGGAAUCUUAGACAAUGGGGGAAACCCUGAUCUAGCCAUGCCGCGUGAGCGAUGAAGGCCUUAGGGUUGUAAAGCUCUUUCAGCUGGGAAGAUAAUGACGGUACCAGCAGAAGAAGCCCCGGCUAACUCCGUGCCAGCAGCCGCGGUAAUACGGAGGGGGCUAGCGUUGUUCGGAAUUACUGGGCGUAAAGCGCACGUAGGCGGAUCAGAAAGUCAGAGGUGAAAUCCCAGGGCUCAACCUUGGAACUGCCUUUGAAACUCCUGGUCUUGAGGUCGAGAGAGGUGAGUGGAAUUCCGAGUGUAGAGGUGAAAUUCGUAGAUAUUCGGAGGAACACCAGUGGCGAAGGCGGCUCACUGGCUCGAUACUGACGCUGAGGUGCGAAAGCGUGGGGAGCAAACAGGAUUAGAAACCCUAGUAGUCC